GAUGAACGCUAGCUACAGGCUUAACACAUGCAAGUCGAGGGGAAACGAUGAGAGAGCUUGCUCUCUCAGUCGUCGACCGGCGCACGGGUGAGUAACGCGUAUCCAACCUGCCUCUGACCAAGGGAUAACCCGUCGAAAGUCGGACUAAUACCUUAUGCAGUCGUCGGAAGUCAUCUGAUGACGACGAAAGAUUUCAUCGGUGAGAGAUGGGGAUGCGUCUGAUUAGCUUGUUGGCGGGGUAACGGCCCACCAAGGCGACGAUCAGUAGGGGUUCUGAGAGGAAGGUCCCCCACAUUGGAACUGAGACACGGUCCAAACUCCUACGGGAGGCAGCAGUGAGGAAUAUUGGUCAAUGGGCGUAAGCCUGAACCAGCCAAGUAGCGUGCAGGAUGACGGCCCUAUGGGUUGUAAACUGCUUUUAUGCGGGGAUAAAGUGAGGGACGUGUCCUUCAUUGCAGGUACCGCAUGAAUAAGGACCGGCUAAUUCCGUG
rnacentral:rRNA from 1 species